GGCGGACGGGUGAGUAAUACUUAGGAAUCUGCCCAUUAGUGGGGGACAACUCGAGGAAACUCGAGCUAAUACCGCAUACGCCCUACGGGGAAAGCGGAGGACCUUUCGGGGCUUCGCGCUAAUGGAUGAGCCUAAGUCGGAUUAGCUUGUUGGUGAGGUAAAGGCUCACCAAGGCGACGAUCCGUAGCUGGUCUGAGAGGACGAUCAGCCACACUGGGACUGAGACACGGCCCAG
rnacentral:rRNA from 1 species